rnacentral:rRNA from 1 species
UACAGAGGUCCCAAGCGUUGUUCGGAUUCACUGGGCGUAAGGGUGCGUAGGUGGUUAGGUAAGUCCGAUGUGAAAUCUCCAGGCUCAACCUGGAAAUGGCAUUGGAUACUAUUUAGCUUGAGGAGUGGAGGGGGGACUGGAAUUCUCGGUGUAGCAGUGAAAUGCGUAGAUAUCGAGAGGAACACCAGUGGCGAAGGCGAGUCCCUGGACACUUCCUGACACUGAGGCACGAAAGCUAGGGGAGCAAACAGG